AGAGUUUGAUCCUGGCUCAGGACGAACGCUGGCGGCGUGCCUAAUACACUGCAAGUUGAACGAUGAUUUCUGGUACUUGUAUCAUGAAUGAAGAGUAGCGAACGGGUGAGUAACGCGUGGGUAACCUACCUCUUAGCGGGGGACAACUAUUGGACAACGAUAGCUAAUACCGCAUAACAAUAUUAAACACAUGUUUAAUAUUUGAAAGUACCAAUUGGUACACUAGGAGAUGGACCCGCGUUGUAUUAGCUAGUUGGUAGUGUAAUGGACUACCAAGGCGAUGAUACAUAGCCGACCUGAGAGGGUGAUCGGCCACAUUGGGACUGAGACACGGCCCAAACUCCUACGGGAGGCAGCAGUAGGGAAUCUUCGGCAAUGGACGAAAGUCUGACCGAACAACGCCGCGUGAGUGAAGAAGGUUUUCGGAUCGUAAAACUCUGUUGUUAGAGAAGAGCGUUGUGUAGAGUGGAAAAUUACACAAGUGACGGUAUCUAACCAGAAAGGGACGGCUAACUACGUGCCAGCAGCCGCGGUAAUACGUAGGUCCCGAGCGUUGUCCGGAUUUAUUGGGCGUAAAGCGAGCGCAGGUGGUUUAAUAAGUCUGAUGUAAAAGGCAGUGGCUCAACCAUUGUGUGCAUUGGAAACUGUUAGACUUGAGUGCAGUAGAGGAGAGUGGAAUUCCAUGUGUAGCGGUGAAAUGCGUAGAUAUAUGGAGGAACACCGGUGGCGAAAGCGGCUCUCUGGACUGUAACUGACACUGAGGCUCGAAAGCGUGGGUAGCAAACAGGAUUAGAUACCCUGGUAGUCCACGCCGUAAACGAUGAGUGCUAGUUGUUUGGGGCUAUCCAGCCCUAAGUGACGCAGCA
rnacentral:rRNA from 1 species